CACGCAUUAUCAAUUCAAACUUUGUGAUCAGAACUAUCAAGUAGACUCAUAACGUCGCAUUACCGUUGAGCUCUUUUAAUUUGCAACUUCCGUUAUUUGUAUUAGGUAUUUUAGGAAGUUGUACCCACAAAAACAGAAGAAAGGUGGAUAGAAGAAAUAGAAGCAGUAGCAGCGAAGCGAAUGGGGAAAGAAAGCUAUAGACAGAGUCAGUUGGAAAAUGCUGUUCCAGCUUCCGAUGGACGGUACUGAAGGUAGCUAGGAUAUAGGAUAACCAGAUAAAAAUAAUGUAUUAAAUGUAAAAAAAAAUCUAAGCUGUAUAUACACAUUUUUUUAAUCUUGAUUGCAAAUUAAAUGGGCUUUAUUAUUAUUAUAGUUGUACUCAAAUUCCGAAUAUUACAUUUUGCCAUUGAUGCAAUUAUUUUUGUUUUUGAAGAGUUAUGCAUAUUUUCUGUAACUGUUUUACUAUUAAAUUUUCCAGAAAACAAUUGUGUUAUAUGUACAGAAUAUACUAUGCUUCACUCAAGGUCAUCAGGUUGCUAUACUUUUGCAAUAAUAAUAGAAAUAAACACAUUAAUUUAAAUAUACUUGUAGUUCAUGUUAUGGCAUGUUUAAAAUCAUUUUUCUAACUUCUGUAGCAACAAUUGGAUUUAAAGCGCAGAUAUCAUUUUCACUGUAUGGUGGUAGAACUGAAAUGUUACCAACAACAAUAUUCUCUCCUUCUUCUAUUACUGGCAAUAAAUUUUUCUUAAACCAUGA